CCUACGGGUGGCAGCAGUGGGGAAUUUUGGACAAUGGGCGCAAGCCUGAUCCAGCUAUUCCGCGUGUGGGAUGACGGCCUUCGGGUUGUAAACCACUGUCGUAGAGAACGAACGGUCUGUGGAUAAUACCGAUAGAUGAUGACGGUACUCUCAGAAUAAGCACCGGCUAACUACGUGCCAGCAGCCGCGGUAAUACGUAGGGUGCGAGCGUUAAUCGGAAUUACGGGGCGUAAAGGGCUCGCAGGCGGUUUUGCAAGACGGAUGUGAAAGCCCCGGGCUUAACCUGGGAAAGGCAUACAUGACUGGCAGACUAGAGUGCGUCAGAGGGGGGUGGAAUUCCAAGUGUAGCAGUGAAAUGCGUAGAUAUUUGGAAGAACACCGAUGGCGAAGGCAGCCACCUGGGACGCAACUGACGCUCAUACACGAAAGCGUGGGGAGCAAACAGGAUUAGAUACCCCUGUAGUC
rnacentral:rRNA from 1 species